UACGUAGGGCGCAAGCAUUGUCCGGAAUUAUUGGGCGUAAAGAGCUCGUAGGCGGCUUGUCACGUCGGGUGUGAAAGCCCGGGGCUUAACCCCGGGUCUGCAUUCGAUACGGGCUAGCUAGAGUGUGGUAGGGGAGAUCGGAAUUCCUGGUGUAGCGGUGAAAUGCGCAGAUAUCAGGAGGAACACCGGUGGCGAAGGCGGAUCUCUGGGCCAUUACUGACGCUGAGGAGCGAAAGCGUGGGGAGCGAACAGG
rnacentral:rRNA from 1 species